rnacentral:rRNA from 1 species
UACAGAGGGUGCUAGCGUUGUUCGGAAUCAUUGGGCGUAAAGGGCGUGUAGGCGGUUUGUUAAGUCAUGUGUGAAAUCCCUCGGCUCAACCGGGGAACGACGCAUGAAACUGGCAAGCUAGAGUACCAAAGAGGGGGGUGGAAUUCCUGGUGUAGCGGUGGAAUGCGCAGAUAUCAGGAGGAACACCGGUGGCGAAGGCGGUUCUCUGGGCAUGUCCUGACGCUGAGGAGCGAAAGUGUGGGGAGCGAACAGG